rnacentral:rRNA from 1 species
CAGGUCUUGACAUCCUCNGACAAUCCUAGAGAUAGGACGUUCCCCUUCGGGGGACAGAGUGACAGGUGGUGCAUGGUUGUCGUCAGCUCGUGUCGUGAGAUGUUGGGUUAAGUCCCGCAACGAGCGCAACCCUUGUCCUUAGUUGCCAGCAUUCAGUUGGGCACUCUAAGGAGACUGCCGGUGACAAACCGGAGGAAGGUGGGGAUGACGUCAAAUCAUCAUGCCCCUUAUGACCUGGGCUACACACGUGCUACAAUGGAUGGUACAAAGGGUUGCGAGCCCGCGAGGUUUAGCCAAUCCCAUAAAACCAUUCUCAGUUCGGAUUGUAGGCUGCAACUCGCCUNCAUGAAGCCGGAAUCGCUAGUAAUCGUGGAUCAGCAUGCCACGGUGAAUACGUUCCC